CUCAAACUCAGAGGUCCACCUGCCUCUGUCUCCAGAGUGCUGGAAUUAAAGGCGUGUGAUAUCACCACCACCCCACCGUGGCCGAUGGAUUCAAAUUGAUUGCUUGCUAGCUACCCUGAUACGAACAGCCUCUACUGCACCCUUACCAACAUGAGGCUCAGCUUCAUCACAGGCCCAGCAAGAAAGAACCAACCUUGGGCUGAAACCUCUGAACCCAGGAGUGUGUAGACAAGUCUUGUCUCCUUCCAGUUUCUCUGGUCAGCUGCCUCACGCUCCUACCUCUGUGAUGGACUGUACCCUAGAAUUGUAAGUCAAAAGUCCCAUACCUCUUCUA